rnacentral:rRNA from 1 species
AUACGUAGGGGGCGAGCGUUGUCCGGAAUGAUUGGGCGUAAAGGGCGCGUAGGCGGCCCGGUAAGUCUGGAGUGAAAGUCCUGUUUUUAAGAUGGGAAUUGCUUUGGAUACUGUCGGGCUUGAGUGCAGGAGAGGUAAGUGGAAUUCCCAGUGUAGCGGUGAAAUGCGUAGAGAUUGGGAGGAACACCAGUGGCGAAGGCGACUUACUGGACUGUGUCGGACGCUCAGAUGCGAAAGCCAGGGUAGCGAACGGGAUUAGAUACCCCGGUAGUCCUGGCCGUAAACGAUGGGUACUAGGUGUGGGAGGUAUCGACUCCUUCCGUGCCGGAGUUAACGCAAUAAGUACCCCGCCUGGGGAGUACGGCCGCAAGGCUUAAACUCAAAUGAAUUGACGGGG